GCUAAAUGCGGAAGAGAUAAGUGCUGAAAGCAUCUAAGCACGAAACUUGCCCCGAGAUGAGUUCUCCCUGAGACUUAGAGUCUCCUGAAGGAACGUUGAAGACGACGACGUUGAUAGGCCGGGUGUGUAAGCGCAGCGAUGCGUUGAGCUAACCGGUACUAAUGAACCGUGAGGCUUAACCUUACAACGCCGAAGAUGUUUUGGCGGAUGAGAGACGAUUUUCAGCAGUGAUUCAGAGUUGAGUACGCAAUAAUUUGCGCAGCAGCAAGGCGGCAAGCGAAGGAAAGGAAGGAGCAUACAGAAGUAUGUGACUGAGUUUACGAGCGCAGGCAACGCCGCUGAUGCGAUAAAGAAUUGCGUACAGAGCACAAAGAAUUUG
rnacentral:rRNA from 1 species